rfam:Gossypium raimondii chromosome 3, whole genome shotgun sequence.
GCUGGUUUGCUUGAGUGGUUAAGGGGAUAGACUUAAGAUUUGUUGCACAUAAGUGCGCGUGAGUUUGAACCUCAUAGCCAGCA